rnacentral:rRNA from 1 species
UCUAAGGUGAGCCUACGUCGGAUUAGCUAGUUGGUAGGGUAAAAGACCUACCAAGGCGAUGAUCUGUAGCUGGUCUGAGAGGACGGACAGCCACACUGGGACUGAGACACGGCCCAGACACCUACGGGAGGCAGCAGUGGGGAAGUAUUGGACGAAUGGGGGGAACCCGUCGAUCCAGCGAUGCCGCGUGUGUGAAGAAGGCCUGCGGGUUGUAAAGCACUUUCAGUGGGAAAGAGAAGCGUCUUGUGAAUAAUGGGACGUGGAGACGUUACUCACAGAAGAAGCACCGGCUAACUCUGUG